UUAAUUGAAUCAGAAAAACUUAGAUGAAAAUUCAACAUUUAACCAAUAAAUGAUUGAAUGUCAGACACAAAAUCCAUUUGAGACGGAUGUUACACAAUUCAAUUAUGUUUUUCUCAGGAUAAGGGCCUCUACAAGGGUGCAUUGUAUGUAUAAAUAGCUGAAUGCUUUCUAUUCGAAAUGAAUCACGCCCGUAACAUCUACAUCCCAGUUCUUCGUUAACAACUAAUUUUCAGAGCUACCCGGCAUAUACUGAGGAACUUAGCAUCAUUAUGUGACUCAUCAUAUUAUAAAGGAUUGGACGUCAAUCCUAUGCCCAUUUGCACCGUGUACAAAUGAGCUAUGGACAAUGACUCAAACUUGAAAAGAAUAAAGGUAAUUUCUUCAGUUAAUCUGUAAACUCUUUAUAGUGCUUGUGUCUUCCCCUGCAACAAUAUCACGGCACUGCAACAUGUUAUUCUUGCGAAGAUAGAUUUGCCUUGUGGGCUGCCUUUUCCUUUUCCGUAUGAAGCACAGUUCAACUAAGUCUUAUAGCUUGCCAUUUUAAGUGUGCAUCCUCCAACAACACAAGUUUGGUACGGGGGAUCCCUUAGGCAAAAGCCCCAUUGCUACCGAAAAAAGGCAAACUUCACCUCUAAUUCAAGCAACGGAAUAAUGUUUGGUCAUUGAAAUUUGUUAAUGGGUGACUAAGUCAUUCACCUGCAUGGAAUAACAUCAUGUCAUUUUGGGCCAAUCAGAUCCCUGCACUAUAGCAAUCUGCUUGUGGGGAUGGGACUGGGUGCAGCGUGCAGGCAUUACUUAAGAAAUUAAUCCUGCUACCUCAGCUUGUGGAUUCCUUGAAUAAUUCUAUAUCCACCUACCCUAAAAGAACUCAUUCACCAAGUAUUCUGGAACCGACUACCAAUAGUCUCCACAAGAACAUGAGCCACCUUCAAACCGGUGAAAACGAAUUCGAUCCCUUACAAUGAUAACCCUGCUUAACAGCCUCGAAACCAUUUUUAUCCAAUUGUGACAGUCAUUGCAGAUUCGAAGGUUCUUUGAAAUCCUAAUCUCUGUUCCAGGGCAAGUUUUAAAGAUCCCAUAGGCCAAUGCCAACUUUUCACUGUGAUAAUACAAGUUUCCCUCCUUUUCCUCCUCAGAGACAUCCAUCAUAACCAACUCUGUUGCGGGCAAAAAUCCCUCCAACUUGGUCCUUUGGAUUAAUCCUUCCAAUAUUUUGUAUAUUGCUUCCACUUCAGGAUGAGAUCUAUCACCUGCCUUAAAUUUGUGUACCACACCCGCCCACUCAAACCAGCUCUUUCCCCGAAUUUUACGAACUCGGUUCAUUUUCAUCAUUUCUCUCACUCCUUGUGCACUAUCCCAUCUCUUCUGAGAGCAGUAGAUAUUUGACAGCAAGACAUAAUCCCCACUCUCAAGGCGUGAUAUAUUUGUAAUGGCAACUUCACCUAGCUCUGGCUUUUGGUAUGUUCUGCAAGCACUAAGAAGUGCCCUCCAUAUAAUAACAUCUGGCUCCAUUGGCAUUGCUUUAAUAGUGGCAUAAGCCUCUUCCAGAAGCCCAGCUCGACUCAAGAGAUCAACCAUUGCUCCAUAGUGCUCAAGUUGUGGCUGAAUUAAGUAAUGGCUUUUCAUUAAAUCAAAGUACUUGCGGCCCUCUUUGACCAAACCACAAUGGCUACAUGCCGUUAAAAUUCCAAGAAAAGUUAUAGAAUCAGGUAAAACAUUUUCCUCCUCCAUCCUGGAGAAUAAUGUUAUUGCAUCUAAAGCAAGCCCAUGAACCGCUAGCCCAUUGAUCAUUGAAUUCCAAAUGGAAACAUCACUGCGCUGAACACUAAUAAAAACUUGUUUUGCAAUUUGAAUUCUACCACAUUUUGAGUACAUAUCUAUUAACGCAGAAUUCAAAAUAAAGCUCAAUUCAAUUCUUUUCUUAACCAUCAAGUCGUGCACCCACUGAGCAUGAUCAAGGACUCCAAGCCUUGCGCAUGCAGUUAUAACAGAGGCAAAUGUAAACUUAUCCGGCUCAACAUUUGAGCUUAGCAUUGCUCGGAAGAAUCUCAAUGCAUCCUCAAAACGUGCAUUUCUAACAAGACCUCCAAUCAUUGAAUUCCAUGUGACCACAUCUCGGGCGGGCAUUUUGCAAAAUACCUUGUUGGCAAUCUCAUAGUCUCCUUCCCUCAUAAAAUUUUCAAUAACCAAAUUCAGAGCCACCAAAUCAAUGGUCCAAGCGAAAACUUGAUUGAUUACUUGAUAAGCAAGAUUGAGGCGAUCACAAUUCACAUAAAUAGAAAUCAGAGAAGCUGAAAGAGACGAAUGUGUUGCAUACCCAAAUCUAAUAAUUCUUGCAUGAGUUUCAAUUGCAGUUUUUAAAUCCGAAGAGAGUUUGCAGGCUUCAAGAAGGUCGCAGAAUAAUUGAUGAUCUGGAACAAUUUUAAGAAGGAUCACAAUCACCAAAAUAUAAACAUAAUAACCACUGCAAGAUAGAUGGGAACAAGAUUGUGAGAGCAUGAAGAGAGAGAGAGAGAGAGGCAAUCGGGCACCUUUAUUUUCGUGGAGCAAGUGAGGAGUGGUGGAGAGCGAAUUGUGGUAGCUGGUCCAUUUGGUGAUGGCAAGAGGAGCCUGGGCAGUGAGUCUCCUUGCCCCGUGCCUCUGCAUACCCUCUUCUUUGUAAGGGAAGGACGAGGAUUCCAAUUUCCAAAGCUAAACCGAUUG
rnacentral:misc_RNA from 1 species